GACGAACGCUGGCGGCGUGCUUAACAUAUGCAAGUCGAACGGAAAGGCCCUGAUUUUGUGGGGUUCUCGGGUGGCGAACGGGCGAGUAACACGUGAGUAACCUGCCCUUGACUUUGGGAUACUUCAGGGAACUGGGGCUAAUACCGAAUAGGCACUCCUGCUGCAUGGUGGGGGUUGGAAAGUUUCGGCGGUGCGGGAUGGACUCGCGGCUUAUCAGCUUGUUGGUGGGGUAGUGGCUUACCAAGGCUUUGACGGGUAGCCGGCCUGGGAGGGUGACCGGCGACAUGGGGACUGAGAGAGGGCGCAGACUCGUACGGGAGGCAGCAGGGGGGAAUAUGGCACAAUGGGAGGAAGUCUGAGGAAGCAACGCCGCGGUCGGGAAGACGGCCUGCGGGUUGUAAACCGCUGUCGGCUGUGACGAAGCGUGAGUGACGGUACUGGGUAAAGAAGCACCGGCUAACUACGUG
rnacentral:rRNA from 1 species